UACGGAGGAUGCGAGCGUUAUCCGGAUCUAUUGGGUUUAAAGGGUGCGCAGGCGGAUUUUUAAGUCAGCGGUCAAAUCGUGGGGCUCAACCCCAUCCAGCCGUUGAAACUGGGGAUCUAGAGUGUGCGAGAGGUAUGCGGAAUGCGUGGUGUAGCGGUGAAAUGCAUAGAUAUCACGCAGAACCCCGAUUGCGAAGGCAGCAUACCGGUGCACAACUGACGCUCAGGCACGAAAGCGUGGGUAUCGAACAGG
rnacentral:rRNA from 1 species